rnacentral:siRNA from 1 species
AGGCACUUUAUAAGGAGAGGGCA